UGCAGUGGAGCGACGAACCAGGGCUUGCCCUGGGGCAAAGCCGCGAACGGGUGAGUAACACGUGGGUAACCUGCCCCGAUGAUCGGGACAACUCGGGGAAACCCGAGCUAAUACCGAAUGUGCUCACGAGCCACGAGGCUCGUGCGUAAAGGAAGCUUCGGCCUCCGCAUUGGGAUGGGCCCGCGGCCCAUUAGCUUGUUGGUGGGGUAACGGCCUACCAAGGCAACGAUGGGUAGCUGGUCUGAGAGGACGAUCAGCCACACUGGGACUGAGACACGGCCCAGACUCCUACGGGAGGCAGCAGUGGGGAAUCUUGCGCAAUGCGCGAAAGCGUGACGCAGCAACGCCGCGUGGGGGAAGACGGCCUUCGGGUUGUAAACCCCUUUCAGUUGGGACGAAGCUUUGCCCGUUAAUAGCGGGUCGGAGUGACGGUACCUUCAGAAGAAGCCCCGGCUAACUACGUGCCAGCAGCCGCGGUAAUACGUAGGGGGCAAGCGUUGUCCGGAAUCAUUGGGCGUAAAGAGCGUGUAGGCGGCCCGAUAAGUCCGCCGUGAAAGUCCAGGNUCAACCCUGGAAUG
rnacentral:rRNA from 1 species